rnacentral:lncRNA from 1 species
UCCGGUGCGUCUUGCCCUCGUGAUGCACUCAAACUAGGAGUGUGUGCCAAUGUGCUAAACGGGUUGUUGAACGUGACUUUGGGUCAACCACCAGUUACCCCAUGCUGUUCCCUUCUCAAUGGUCUCGUUGAUCUUGAAGCUGCAGUGUGCCUUUGCACUGCCCUAAAAGCAAACAUUUUGGGCAUCAACCUCAACCUUCCAAUCUCACUCAGCUUACUUCUCAAUGUUUGCUCAAGGAACGCCCCACGUGAUUUCCAAUGUGCCUAAAUCAUGGCCUAUGCUAUGCACAAGUUGCUUCAAUACGUGUUUGCUAGCUAGUUCUGGCUUUCUGUUGUCUCUUUUAUUUUAUAAAUUUCAUUGCUCAUGAGUCAUGAUGCGAUUCUUGUACGUGCAUGGAUGGUUAACUUCUCGUUAUUCUGUCGCUUUAAUUGGUGUUUGUUUUUAUUUAACAAAGUGUCAAAUUAAAUAAAUUCCCGAUGCUUUCUUAUGCAAAAGCAAAAGGAAUCAAAGAUGAUACUAGUGUUAUUUAUUUGACAGAUAAAUGAUUAAUGUUGCGAACAAUUUUUAAUUUUUAUUUCUGUCUCUUUUCGUUUUGUCUUUUUGGUGAGCGAGAGCAUAGGCUGAUCAGGAAAUUAAUUUAUUUUUCCCUUUCUAACUUCUGUCCAAUGCCUGACUUGCUUGAGGAAAACAAAUUCAAGAAAAGAAUAAAAUCUAAAGCUAACAUGCACAGGCAUCAACGCUGUAAUCAGCCCGUGACUAUUGUACUAUAUCACAUCACGUGCAAGCACUAUUAAUUUUUUCAUUUUAAAAAAACGAAUAUAUAAUUAGCUAAUUAAACCGAACCAAAAUGAUUGGUUUACGGCUUUAGGCCAACUCGUUUAUUUGAAAUAUACAUUGAAUAUAUAAAUCAUUCGCUCUCAAUUUAAGAAAUGAAGCACAUGCAUCUUAGUUUUGUUACCGACCAGUUUAUUAGCCAUAGUAUAUUUGCUUGCACAAAUUCCAGAAUCCAGAGGUACAUUAAGUAAGAACUAAGAAGCAAUGAUUUCUUGCUUUUGGAGUUUUGGUCCAAUGCACGUUUCAUGAUGCAUAAAUGAACACACACACACUUAAGUUCAUCCCGUGUUAGGAGGAAAGAAGUUGGGGAUAUUAAAAUUAGGUAGAAUGGUUCAUAUAAUUUGCCAUUCAAAUGUACGAUUGCAAACCCAGGCCGGCCCUGGAACUUGAUUGAAGGAGCAAUGACACAAGGCCCAUGACAUGACUUAGAGGGGUCCAAUUUUUUUAGAAAAAUAUAUAGGUAUAUAGUAAUUAAAUAAUCUAUAUUAUCUUCAUAAAUAGAUUAAAAUUAUUUUUUGAUUUUAUAUUAUUUAAAUUAAAAUAUGACAAGUGAUUAAAAAGCAUUUUUCUUUUAGUUAUUUUUUUCUUCUAUUGGUUUUAUUCAAAAUCCAAUGUUAAAUCAAUUUCUAAUUAAUGGUGACAUAUCAACAUGUAAUAGAUUUUUAAUAACAGACGUGUUGUUUUUUUUUCCAACAAAAUGAUGAACAUAAAUAUACCUAAGUUUUAAUUCAAAAUAAUGAUAUUUUUAUAUAAUAGGUGAUAGGGAUAGAGCAAAACACUUUUUUUAGAAGCCACAUAUAAAAUAAAUUAUAAUUUUAAAACUAAUAUAUUAAAUUUAACCAACAACUAAAAUAAUCAUAAUAAUUGGUCACAUACCAUAAAAAUCAUAUUUAUAUAAAUCAAACAAAAGAUACAAGACUAUAGAAUUGUAUUUGAAGAAAAUAUAUUUAGUUUAUAAAAUUCAUAAUAACCAUUCUAAUGAUAGAAAAUAUUUAUUUUAUUUAGAUAUCAUGGUUAAAAUUUUAAAAGUAUAAUUUGAAGAAAAUAUAUUUUAUUAAAAAGAAAUUUAUUUUUUAAAUUAAGAAAAUAAGAAUAAUAUAUUCUAUGCUUCAAACAAUGAAAUAAUAUUUCUUUAUUUUUCAUUUAAAAUAUUUAGGAAAAAAUAGACAGACCUUAAAUAUUAUUGAAAAUGAUGGUUGUAUAUUAUUUGGGAGGUGUAUCAUCUUCGGUGGAGAACAUAUGAAGAGGAGAGACAGACAAUGUAAAAUCUGAUAUCAAAAUGUGAUAAAAAAGAAAGGAAAAAAUUAGAGAAGUUAUGGCAAAAAAUUGUAUAAUAUCAACAUAAAAAAAUUAUAUAUGUAUAUUUGCUUUCUUUUAGGGAUGUCUUUAUAUACAAAUGUUUGUGUAUGAAUAAUUUUUUUUUUUGAAUUUGUAAAUUAAAAGAUAGAUGAUAAUAUGAGUAAAUUGAAUAAAAAAUGAUAUAUAAUUAUUUUUUUAGAUUUAUUAAAAUAAUGUUAUUUACUUAAUGUAAUAAAAUAUACUAUUUUAAUAAAAUUACGUAUUUAUUUUUUAUGGAAUAUAUAUUUAUAUUUUGUAAUAUUUAUAUAUAGUAAGCGUUCCUUUUUUAUUAUUCUGUCUUGCACCUUAAAAUGUCAAAAUCGACCCCGUGCAUACUUGUAACCAUUUUGCCACUUAGUGUAUUUUUUUUUUUUCUUUUCGUAUCUCUUGCACCGUGGCACAUAAGAAAUAAAUAAAUAAUAAACAAAGUUAUUCCACAAUACACAUCUAUUACUUUGUUGUGUAAACCGUAUUGCACAUUGGUUUAACUAUUUAAUUUUAUUGUGAAGAGAAGUAGUACAUGAUGUACAUUGGAUAUUAAGGUUUAUGGCAACACUGCAACAGGCUUUCCGAUUUUCGAAGUUCAAUAAUUUCCAUACAAAUAUAUUUAAUUAUAAAUACACUAUUGGGAAUCUAUAAUGGUACAUUAUUAAACAUAAACCUAUAAUCGUGCGCGUGCAUUCAAAAUGACUUUGAGCGUAAUUUUCAUUUAUUUAGUUUUAAAGCUCCUUUAAAAUUAAAAUUAUUCGAUAAUUUUUUUAUAAAAAAAUUAUUAUAAACUAACUGUCACAUUCAAUAGACGAAUAUGUUUUUAAAAAUAAAAAAUAUUACUUUGUAAAAUUAAUUUAAUCAACAUAACUUUAUUUAAUGACAAUAAAAAUACAUAAAAUGAGCAUUACCGUUCGACUAAUCAAAUUCAUUUCAAACAAAUAUUCUUUAUUGUCAUUCUUUUCUAUAACAAAUAUUUUCUAGGUAACUUCUGACAAAAUAAUCUCUCCCUCAUAUUGAUAAACUCAAGUAUUAUUUGAUCAUAAAAUUAUUAUUCAUUUUCUCAAACAAAAAAGGUUUGAUGGAUUACAAGUAGUCUAUUCACAGAGUGAGUCUAUGAAAUUACAAUACAAAAACAAGUAACUUUAAUUAGCACAACAAAGGAACAAAGGAGUGUUCUUUUCUUUUUGUUUCAAAGCAUAAGUCCAAUGAGUAUAAGGGUGUCCCUGUUCUAUUGCUUGAAUGCUUGUUAAUUUCUUUAACUUGUCUCACAAUUCUUCAACGCUUCAAUCUUGAAAUAUAUAAAAUUCAUCUGAGGGGACCAUUGUGAGUGAGAACCCAUUGAUAUUUUCCUAUUAUGAAACAUGACACAUGCUACUUUUGAUGCGUCCAUUUCCGGUGAAGAGAGAGAAGUGAGAAGGUAUAGUCAUUUUUCUGAGUAACGUUUCCUUAUCUUCACAACUUAUACAAAAAUGAUUUCAAGUAGAGGAUAUUCUCAUCGGUGGUCAUGUAUAUACUGUCUCAAGGCAAAUACUUGAAAUUUAAAUGUUAAGGUAUUUCAAAAGGUAGCAGAAAUAUUAGAUGAAAUUCUUAGAAGCUAUCAACAUAGAUAAAUUAGCACCUUUGGUGUACAACUUUUGGAUGCAAAAAAAAUCAAGUGAAAGUAGAAAUAAUAAGUGUAAGUUUUCUUAGUGUUUGGACGAAAGAAACAUAGCACAUAGGACCCUAGAUAAAAACAUUGGACCCAAUUUAGUUACAACAAGUUGGACACUAUAUAUAAUUUGCAAAAAUAUUGGUCCGAGUCGUCCAGUUUUUUCACUUUGGACACAUGUUCGAUUAAAACAUAUUUUUCUUAUAAGGUAAGGAAUACAAUACUUAUACCGCCAUUGAAGGUAAGAAAACCUAUGACACUUAAUAAAUUUCAUCCGUCAUCAAAGUUUAAUAUUUUUAUUGUCAUUAAAAUUAUGAUAUUUUGAGGUGUUAGAUAUUUUUUAUGUCUUUAGUUCUAAAAGGUCUAACGAUAAUAAAGAUAUUAAACUUUGAUCGAUGGACUAAUUAGAUUUAUUAAGUGUUAUAGGUUAACAAUCAUCCAAUGAUUACAUAGAUAUUGUAUUUCAUACCUUAGACCCAAAAAUUGUUUUAAUUUAAUGUGUUGAAGGUGACGAAAUUGGACUCAAUCCAAUGUUUUCAAACAUUAUUAUAAGUUUUACUAAUAUGUUUUUGUACCUUAAACAUUUGCAUUUUCUAUUUUUAUUCUCUUAACUAAAUAUCCCAUCCUUAAACAUUUUUCCUACUGUAAAAUGUUUUAGUUAAAUGAUGAUAUGAGUUAAUUGUGACGAUAAAAUUUAUUUUUGUCCUUCAACUAUUCGUAUUUUUGUUUUAACUCCUUAAUAUUUACCGCACACUAACAUAAUAAUCUCUAAAUUUUAUAGCGUACUAUCAUUAUUAUAUGGUCCCAGUAAAAAAAAAUAAUCAUUAUCACGUGGUCCAUAACGAAGCUAACGGCAUAGACUUAUAUAACUAACCGAUUUCAAUUUUACAUUUAUCUAAAUCCAAAAGAAUAGCUACUAGUAUAAUAACUUCUUAUAAAUUCAAGGAUUUUUUUGAAGUGAUUAAAACCAGAGGAAUUAAUAGAGAUAUAUCCUUUAACCUCUUAUAAUUAGUAUCGUUAAACUUUAACCUCUUAUAACCAAAAGCUUUUUGUUAAUACUUAAUAGACGAAUUAAUACAAGAUCGUUUUCAGUUAAUUGUUCAUAUAAAAAUAAAAGUAUACGCAUUCAUUUGACUAUUAUAUUCAGUCCAAUCUUUUGGGUUGUUAUGGAUGUCUUUUUGCGGUUGCUUUCAAGAUAGGCAAUAUAUAUGCAUGCAGUCAAUCUCAUGAACUAUGGAGUAUAUUGUAAUCAGGAAUCAUGGACAGGUGGAACAUUAAUUUCAGUACCUACAUUACUUUUUUGUUCUCAACAAUUUGUUUACAUCUGCGUCAUAAAAUCUUAAGGGUUGAAAGAGAAACCACAGAAGCUACUUCGGAGCUAGCCUACAAAAGAAACCUGCACACUGAAGCCCAGAAAACUCCGUAAUUUAUUGCCCUGCGUUGAUUUACUUAAUGUUCUACGUUUAUAUAUAUAUAUCCGAGAUCACAGCUUAAUUAGACACUCCUUUCCAGUUGAAUAUACUAUAUAUAAUUAUUGACUUGAAGUUUUCUUAAAGAUAAACGCAAUCCAAAUUAGCCUGUGACCGCGACAGCUAAUCACUACUAAAAGAAAAUUAAUGAUUUCCACGGGUUUGGGGCAAUGGCAUGGUCACAUGGAAAUUCUUCUCCCAAGCUUUUUAAUUUAUAUAUACUACUAUAAUAUAAUAGCUAGCAAUCAUAGAAGCAUUUACAGAUUAGAGAGUCACGGACUUCGCUUAACAAAAGUGGGCUCCCCUACAAGCUCGCAAUGUCAAACGGUUAAUUAGGAAUUGAAUAUGAAACACCUGUCUACUCUCCUGGCUAUCUAUCAUGACUUGGAUGAUAGUUAGUAUUCCCCAGUCCCCGCCAUUUAUAUAGUCAAGGAUAGAAAAUGAUGUAAUUCUUUAGGAUAACAAAAUUGAAAAUAAUUUUUUUAAGAUUUAAAUAUCUUUUUAAUACCUAUAAAAUAGGCGAUUUUACUUUUACUACUUAAAUCAUCAUUUUUUUCAAUUUCAGUACCUUACAUAUUUUUUGUGUUUGAUUUUAUUAUUUUUAAUUUAGUUAGAAUUUGUGAUCCUCUCCAUUAAUGGUAAAGUAUAGAAAAUGAUGCUAUUUUUUAGAUACUAAAAAAAUUGAAAAUGUUUUUUCUUAAUUUUUAAAGAAAUGAGAUGUUUUUCGACAAAAAAAAAAAAGCUUUCAUUAGCGACAAUUUUUGUUGGAAAAGUGUUGUGCAUGAUUCAUGUUAUGGGCGGACAUGACUCAUAUGUUACGUGCAGGUUGAUGUUGAAGCAUAAUGGGAUGAAAGCAUAUUUGUUCUUUGUGCUUGACCCACCUAUUAUUGGGUUACCACGAUGAGGGUUGGGGAUACGGGGGCGUAGUCCUCCGACCUCCACAGUACAAUAGAUCGGUGAUAUUGUAAUUAUGUAUCGUGGAUUAAUCUUUAUAAACUGAUAUAAUCCUAUUUGUCAAAUAAAUAAUAUAUAUAGAAAUAACACUCCGUUUUUUAGUAUUGUAUAUACUUGUCAAACUUUGUUAAAUCUUUCAUUUUUGUGUGUGUUUACUUUGUUUUUAGAAUUCUGAUUCCUAUUAAUAUUGCUGACAAAAAGUCAUAACUUAUAUGUACCUAUUUUCUGGUUGUGGAUAAUUUGUAAGAGUAAUGAUAUAUAAGUCAUCAUUAAUUUUAAAUGCAUUGUUAAUAUAUACUUCUUAUUUCUCUUGAUCUCUCUCUUUUUAUUACAUCAUUAAUCUUAUCAUACCUAUAUUAUUUCUUCUCUUUUCUUCUCUCUUCAGGUGUUGAAUAAGUUCUUGAGUGUACAUUAAAUAUUUUUCAAUUAGCAAUAGUAUUUAUCAUUAACUUUUGUUGUUACUGGUUACUGACGGUAAAGUAGCAGGUAAUUACUGACAACUUUUUCCUUUAGCUGUAAAAAAUAAUUACCAAUGCCCUUAUUUUUCUUUUCUUUUCUUUUCCACUGAUAAAUGUUCAUCGAUAAGCCCUUAGAAAAGGUGUUUUCACGAAUGGCUCUUGGCCUUAGGUAAUAUCCUUUUUCUUGUUGUGUAAUUAAACACACACGGAGAAGAUAUCGAUUAAAUUACUAUGAGAGUAAUUCUUGAUAUUACUCAUUUCAUAAACAUACUUAAUAUGCUUCAAACAAUCUCGCACUUCUUGUGCAGUUUAAUUAUAUAUAUUAAAUUUGUUGUUUAGCUGACAAAAAGAACUUAAUUAAUAAGAACUUUAAAUUUAACAAUUAAUUUAAUAAAAUUGAAUACAUGCAAAAAAUAAUUGAAGGAGUAACUUAACCAAAAGUUACUUCUGAGUAACAUGAUUCUAAGAGAGAAUUUUAAGAUAGAAAUGUUAAAUGGAAAAUUAUGAGUAUUAUAAUUUAAUUCCUUUCAGACACACAUAUGUAUGAUAGAGUAGUUUCCAGCAAAAAAAAAAACACAUAUAUAGAGUAUAGAGAUGUUAUUAACAAAUCUUUUUUAAUACACUCUUUAUUAUUAUUAUUUAAAUUUUUCAAAAUUACCCAUAAAAUUAUAAAUUUUAUAUCUUAUUUAAUAAUUUCUACUCAUAAUUUUAUAAUUUCUAAUAAAUUUUAACCACCAUUUCUCCUUCUCAUAAUAUUAUGAUACUGGCGUCCAAAAUACCUAUUUAUAAUGGGGCUGCUAUAUUCAAAGUGAAAAAGUAGUGAUUGAAAAAUCGGCGAUUCAAAUGAACUUCCGGUGCAAUCGAGUCGUAGGUAGGUGCAAUACUUUUCUACAAUCCACUAAUUGAUGGGAGCCCUCAUCACCACACACAAUCAUCCAAAACCUAUUUCAAGGAUUUUAUCUGCCAACUAAUUAUACUCAUUCAUUUAGUACAUGGAUGCUUUAUUAAAUUCAUUUCUCCUCUCCCAAACCCGUUUAACAUUUUUUUUGUUCUUAAACAAUUAACCCCACUUGGCAUUCCAAAACACUAUAUAAACCACCAUUCCCUUCAAAUAACUCCCAUCCCUAUAACCACUCUUCUCUUAAGCUCUAGUAGUUAAGAAACAUUAGUUAAAGAAGAUAAGAAACAUUACACCUAGCUACUAGAGUUUAACAUGGCUUCCAAAACUUGCUCCUCCCUUGCUCUUUUCCUCACACUCAACCUCGUUUUCUUCUCACUUGUCUCUGCAUGUGGUUAUACACCAUGCCCUGGUCCAAACCCAAAGCCAAGGCCCAACCCCAACCCUAACCCUAACCCCAGCCGAAGUGGCUCGUGCCCCCGUGAUGCACUCAAACUAGGUGUAUGCGCCAAUGUGCUAAACUUGGUGAAUGCCACUUUGGGUCAACCACCAGUUACCCCUUGCUGCACCCUUCUCGAUGGCCUCGUUGACCUUGAGGCUGCAGUGUGCCUUUGCACUGCCCUCAAAGCAAACAUUUUGGGCAUCAACCUCAACCUUCCAAUCUCACUCAGCUUGCUUCUCAACGUUUGCUCAAGGAAAGUCCCACGUAAUUUCCAAUGUGCUUAAUCGUGGCCCAUGAAACAAGUUGCUUCGUGUUUCCUAGUUGUGGCUUUCCGUUGUUUUUUUUUUCAAAUUCCAUUUAUCAUGGUGUGAUUCUUGUACGUGCAUGGAUGAUUAACUUCUCGUUAUUAAUUCUGUCGCUUUAUUGAUUGUUUUAUCAGGCAAAGUGUCACAUUAAAUAAAUUCCCAAUGCUUAAUUUGUUAUGUAAAGCAAAAGGAAUAAAAAAUAUGGUAGUGUUAUUUAUUUGACAGAUAAAUGAUUAAUGUUACAAAUAUACUUUUUAAUAUUUAUCGCUGCCUUUUUGUUUGUCUUUUCGGUGAAUGAGAGCAUCUGCUGAUCAGAAAAAUUACAUUGCUUUCUAACUUGUGUCCAAUGCGCAACCAGAGGAAAACUAAUUCAAGAAAAGUAUAAAAACAAAAGCAAACAUGCACAACACUGCAAAUGAACCCGUGACGAGUGUACAAGCACUCCACGUGCAUGCACUAUUAUUUUAUUUUUAAAAACUCAGAACAACCAGCUAUUAAACAAAGAUANNNNNNNNNNNNNNNNNNNNNNNNNNNNNNNNNNNNNNNNNNNNNNNNNNNNNNNNNNNNNNNNNNNNNNNNNNNNNNNNNNNNNNNNNNNNNNNNNNNNAGGAAGGUUAAUUCAAUCUACAGUUGGUGACUCUAUCACUUACAAUGAUUAGCCUUAUUCCAAGUACCAUAAGAGACAUGUACAAUAUCCUACUGAUUAUUGUUCUUACAAGCCUUCUGAAGUCCAUAGCCUGGUUCCUAAUCUAGAUCAAUCCCCCAGUUCAGGUGUGUGGAAAUGUCUCUGUCUUCCUCCUAAUGCUUCUAUAUACUUUAACCUUUAGGACGGGUCUCCUGAUUCAUUGGGAUACUCUUACGCCUCGAUGUAAGCCUAGUCGUCCUAGGUCUUAUAUUGUGAGUGAUUUACCUCAGGAUGAUUGAGGUGGGCCCAAUACACAGCCCUUCAAGCCAUAAGUACAGUAUGCGUGAAGUGGGUUUGUAGAGUUCAGGUUGACCGAGGUGUGGCUCAAUACUCAAACCCUCAAGUCAUGAGUAAAGUAUGCACGAAGUGAAUUUGUAGAGUUUGGACCCACUGAGGUUUAACCCAAUACAACUAUCAAGAUUGAAAUUGCAAGGUACUUAUUAAAACACGCCUAUUGAAUUCUUAACAAGUCAACGAUUACAAAUCUUGCAAGAACACUAGUUGAAAUAUUGUGUAAAAUUAUAAAUGAAUGAACCGCAAAUAAAAGUGCCUAAACCAUCCCUGCUUAACAUAGUAUAGAAAAAAAAGAGUAGUGAUACAUGAAUCAUUACCUAUUAUAUACACCCCAUCAAUAUCCAUCUUUUUUUUUUAUCUCUCUCUUUCUAUCACAUUAUAAUAUCUAUCAUACCUAUAUUUCUCCCCCUUUAUAUCCCUAGGUAUUAUAGGACAUGGGUACCAUUAACUAUUUUCCAAAAGAAAAAUAGAAUACUUUUCUCAAUCAAGAUGUCCCCAAUACAAUUUACAAAAGGAAAAUAUUUCUUAAACCCACAACACUGCCUCAACGAGUAUAGCAAACAAAUUAGGGUCUACCUAGGGGUAGGAGGGUGGAGAUAACUUCAUGAAGACUUAAAGUUCCAUUUUUUAUUGUAAAAGAAGUGAUCGAGUGCAACAAUUGAUUAAUUGAUUGAAUAAAUUUGCCUUCCCCACUUCCAGUGUUUAAAAUUGUAUGGGUCUAUUUGGAUAAACUUUUCUAGAAGUAUUUUUAGGAAAAAAAUAAGAAAAAAUAAAAUAAUUUUUUUCAUAAGUUAAAAUGAGUUAUUAGUUAAUUUGUAGAUGUUUUUUUUAUUUUUAUAAGAAAAGUUAUAUGAGAGAAUUUUUACAAAUUAAUUAAUAAUUAAUUAAUGCAAAACUUAUUUUAGUUUAUGGAGAAGUUCAUAUCAUUUUUUUUUUAGAAGUGCUUCCAAAGAAAUUAACCCACACAAAUCCUAUGUCCUUCUAGGAGGUGACUACCAGCAAAAUUGCAUGUGUUUUUCAAAUUGAACCAUCUAAGUUAUCUAUAAAAAAAAUGAACCAUCAAAUUAAAUUGAAUGGUUGAGACGUUGUAUACAACAUUAUAAAUUGAAUUGAUAUGAUGUUGUACAUUUUUUUAGUCAUCAACAUACGUGUGGAACAAAACCAAUUUAUUACAUUUCUCACAUGUAAAUUGAACCGAUGUGAUUUUACAUAGAAAUGAGCUUUCUUGUGUAACAUGAGUGUCCCUUUUAUAGUCAGUUUUGUGGGAAUGAAAGAGGGACGAGUGAAAAUGAAAAACGAUGAAAGUAGAAAUGUUAAAUUUAAAAUAAGUAGCUUUUAAGUAAUUUUAAAAUAAGGGAGACGUGUGUUUGAUAGGGAUGAAAGUGGGGUGAAAGAUUUAAAAAAAUAGAUUCCCACAGCACAAUAAUUUCACAUCAAAAUUAGAUGAAAGUAGGAUAAAGUAAGUAGCACCAUUAAGAGAGAAAAAGCGCUCCUCGAUUAGUUUGAUUCGGCAGUUAUAUAUAAUCGAUUAUGUUAUAUUAAUAAUUUGUUAUAUAUAUAUAUAUAUAUAUAUAUAUAUAUAUAUAUAUAUAUAUAUAUAUAUAUAUAUAUAUAUACAAUUUGUUUUAAAAAAAUAUUUAUCAUAAAAAAAAAAAAAAUAAAGAUAUUUAAUAAUAUUAAUAAAUAUUAUUAGUAAACAAUAAUAAUAAUAUUAAAUUCAAUAUUAAUAUUUUUCUUACGUAUCUAUCUAAUACCUUUAAUUCAAAUAUUUUAUAUGCCUUUCACCAUUUUUUUUAUCUAAACUAAAAAAAAUAUUAUUUUUUACUAUUUUUAUCUUUCUUUUACAUUGAACAUUAUAUUUAAAAUUGAUGAGACUCAUUAUAUUAUUUCUUAUUUAUUUUUACUCAUUUUCCCUAUCUUUUCAACCAAACAUCUUUAUUUUUAACAUUAUUUUUCACCUAUUCCUUUUAUUUUUAUCUUCUUUAUUUUCUUUUCAUUCAUCACAACCAAUCCAAACAUAAUAUCUUUCAUCAAAUUCUGAAGUACUAUAAUAAUAAUAACUAGCCUGUUAGCUAGUGGUUAUGUGGUGAUUCGGUACCGUGGGCAAUAGGCAGUCGAGACACACUUGCAUUUCUCCUUUUGAUAAACAAAAUCGAAUUUCAAUCUUUUGUACUAAGAGAUACAGGAAUAAAUUGUAAAAAUGUUACAAAAUGAAAAUUAAUCAUUAAAAUUAUUCACGCAUAAUAAAUUAAAAAUUCAAUUAAAUAAAUUUUGAAAUCAAUAAUUUUAAAUUUUGUCUUUUACAGUAAAAUGUUAAUGUUUAGAUGGGCACAUUACUUACUCUCUUGUAUCUUCUUACAUGCAGUAUUCGCUGUAUAUACUAAGAUCCAGUCUUGAGUAACUGGUGCUCAUAUGCAACAUGAAGGCGUCUCUGUUACUGUUAUAUGUCGGUUUGAUUUUUUGUUAGGAGGAUUUAUUGUAUCUUUGUGUUGGUGGUGGUAAAAAACGACAGUGCUGUGACUGCUGUCAUCAUGUAUGUUAUCUAUGGCCAAUUCGCUGAUUAAAAAAAAAACAGUUAAAUGUUAAAACCAACGAAAUUAAUCACAUCUGACAAGGGUUUGAUUCGUUUGAAGAGAAGGUGUCGUCAAGUUCCAACAACAAUAAGUGGAGGACUUAUAAUGGGACCCGCUAUUCCACAUGCAAAAGUUAGCGUUUGAAUAAUUCUGGGGAUUCCACGAUCUUAAUUACAGUGGAAUCAAAUCGCUCAAUGGGUGUAAAAAUUUUGCUCUUAGAUCCACAGAUUGAAGGCAGCCCCACGUCAAGACCAAGACUUAACUUGUGUUCAAGCAUUAUGAUAAUUUCAUUAGCUAAGAUUCAAGUAUUCCCCCUCUACGCGAAAUCUCAUAUAUAUGACAUGCUUCUUUAGCUAAGAUUUUGUCCUAUAAGGAUGUACUAGUACUUCAACAGAUUUAAAGAAGAAAAUUAUUUAGUACUCCUGUGACUUUUUGACACAUAUAAAUACUACUUCAUGAUAAAUACUUUGAUAUAUUAUCUUUUGGACUCAAUUAAAAAUAAUUGAUUUCAUAUUUUUAAAAUAUUCUUUAUUGGAAAUUACUAUCACGAAUAAAAAGAAAUAAUUAAAAAUAAAAAUAAAAAUAAAAAUAAAUAAAUAAUAUUUUAGGAAUGUAAAAUUAGUUAGAUUUAUUUAUAUAUAAGUUUAAUAUAUAAGAUUAUUUUUUUUCUUAUACAUGAGUUUAGAUGGAGUAUCAAACUAAAAGUAUUUUUAUUUUAUUUUAUAAGAUUCAAUUAAUUAACUCAUUUGAAUAAAAAAAACUAAUUAUUUAGUUAAUAACAUUAAAUUUAUCUUAAAUUAUAUAUUAUUUUUUUAAAAUUAUUCCUAAUAUUAAUGAGACGUACUUUUAUUCUUUUUAAAAAAAUAUAUUAUUAUUAGUUUUAAUUCCUUUGAUAUAUCUCAUUAAUUAUUUAUUCUAUUAUUGACUAUGCAUAAGGAUAGUCAAUGUAAGGUUCUUAAAAUAUUUUUUAUACAAGACAAAGAUAGACUUCCAAAAAGUCUAAUACAUGAUUAACUUAUUUAUUUCAUUUACUACUAUUUAUUGAACUAAAACAACUUAUAAUUAAGAGUAUUUUUGUGCCAAAAAAAUUAAUAUAAGAGAUAUCAUGACUUGAAUUUUAUAUAUAUAAAAAAAAAGACUACACCGCUUUUAAUUUAGGUUUUAUAAUAAGAACGGAAGGAAAAAGUAAACUUGAGUUCAAAGCAUUAAUCUCUUAAAUAAUUAUGUCAAAUAUUAAAUUAAAUUAUUUCAAUAAGCUUUAAAAACAAUUUGUUUAUCAAAAGAAUUUAUAUACAGUAUUGACAAUAUCAAGUUUUUUUUUACAUUAACAUCUAAUCACGUAUUUUCAUAUAUGGUAAAAUUGUUAAUAUUUUAUAAUAAUUAAUUAAAAAAAUCAUUUCUAUACUGAUUUUUAAUUAUUUAACAACUUUUAAAAAAAUAUAUUGACGGUUUUUAAAUUAAAUUCUUAUAAAAAAAUUGCUUUAACUUAUUUUAAUAAACUUCAUAUACAACCAUAUAAAUAAAAUCUCUUUUAAUAAGAAUUUAUUAAAUAAAGAAGUUACUUAAUUUUCCCAAACAUAAAUAAAAUUUUCCCUUUUAUAUUUUUAAUCAAUAAUUAAAUUGAUUUAGUUAAUAUUAAAUUAUUUGGAUAUUUAAAAAUUGCAAAUAAAAUUAUUUCUAUCAUUUAAAUCAAUUUUUAUUUUUUAAAUUAAAAGAUUUAAAUACUAAUAUAUUUUUGCCAAAAAAUACUUCUAUUUUUAUUUUUAUAUUCAUGAAAUAAUCAGUUAUCAGUUUAAUCAUUUUUUCUUUUUAAAUGUUUUUUAUAUGAGAAUUUUUACAUAAUACACGAACUACUUGCUAAUUAUAUUUUUAUAGAUUCGUCACCUUGGCACUUCAAAGCACCAUGAGCACUAUAUAAACCACCAUCAGCACCAAAUUAUUCCCAUCUUCACAACAUUAGCAUUUUCUAGUGAUUAAGAAUAUAAACAUAUACGAUAGCUACAACAGUUUAAGAUAAGAUGGCUUCCAACACUUGUUCCUCCCUUGCUCUUUUCUUCACACUCAACCUCCUCUUCAUCGCACUUGUUUCUGCAUGCGAUUGUGGUAGUGGUUCAAGCCCUGGUCCAAAACCAAAACCAAGUCCAACACCCAACCCCAACCCAACCCUAACCCUAAGCCCGAAUUCCAAUCACAUCCUAAUCCUAACCCUAACCCUGACCCCAAUCCAAAUCCUAAUCCCAAUCCUUCAGGUGGCUUGUGCCCCCGUGACGCACUCAAACUAGGCGUAUGCGCCAAUGUGCUAAAUGGGUUGCUCAACGUGACUUUGGGCCAACCACUAGUUACCCCUUGUUGCUCCCUCCUCAGCGGUCUUAUUGACCUUGAGGCGGCAGUGUGCCUUUGCACUGCCCUCAAAGCAAACAUCCUAGGCAUCAACCUCAACCUUUCAAUCUCACUCAGCUUACUUCUCAAUGCUUGCUCAAGGCAAACCAUAUACAAUGCCAUGUAUUAGUCAGUGCACUAUUCUAACAACCCAUGGUUAUCCAAUAUUAACAUAACACAUGUAAAUAUUGAUAAACCAAAGGCUAGCAUGCCUUCCAUCUGAAGCUUAUCCAAGUGAAGAAACAAUCUAUUUAUAGCAAAAGAAUCUAUAUUUAAUUUUUUUUCAUGUGUAAAAUUUUCUUAUACUAGUGGCGUGCAAUUAUGCAUUACAAAUAUAAUUAGUCUUUGACUUAAUAGAUUGUGAAACACCGAUAAUAUGUAAUCUAAGACAAAAGAAGACAUAAUUAAUUAAUCGCAAACAUAACUAUUGGAUAAAUCAUUCAUUUUUUUAUAUCGGCUGAAUAAAUUAUUCAUGCAUUAUAAAUAAAUAGUGUAGCAAAGAUAUUUUUACACUGUUAACUAAUUAAUCACAAAAUGUCAUUGAUGUGUUGCAUUUUAUUCUAGGUUUUGCAUGUUUAUUCAUGCAGUUUUGCAUUCAUUUUGUGUUUUGAUCCUUAUAAAGGUGAAUUACUUAAGGAGAUUAUCAUGGAUGCUUGAGGUUCUAUGCUUGUGAUGACUUUAAUAUGGACGAAGAGCAUUAGGAACUAGGAACCAUGUUGAAUCUUGAAUCAAGCAAAUGAAGGACCACGAGCAACUAUGUUCCAAGAUAAAUUAAAAAAAAAAGUGACAAAUUCCACAACUAGAAGACAUGGUGUAUGUGCAUUAUUUUUAGGAUAUCUUGAGUUGUAGACAUCAAAACAACAUGAGACCAAUGCCUAAAUUUUUAGGACAAAAUUAUCUACAAUUUUUGUAAAGACACUAAGUCAAGAAUCUCACGUUCUAAAUGUGAUUUUGGUUAUGCAAGUGAUGCAUGCUGCAACACUUUGUUUCACAUUUGUUUAUUUUGUGGUUUACUUGUAAUUAACUUCAGUCCCUUUUAGGUUUUUAGAUUUAAAUAAAUUUAUUUAGAGUUUUUUUUUUUUGGAAGUUCCCCAUUACGGGAAACCGUGGGGAGGAGCAACAACACAUUGGGAUUGAAAACAAUUUGUCUUUCUUCCUCCUUCUUGGUUUGAUUGUUUUGCCCCUUUUAUUAAUGUUUGAAUUUCUUUUGGUUUGAUUCUUAUUGAUUUUAUUUGUGUGAAUUUUUGGGUCACUUGUUUGCACCUCUUAGAUAAUUUGGAAAGAACCGAAAGGUCAACCUAAUUGUUAGAACUAUAGGAAUCUGAACAUAAAAUCUAAAACGCAAAAGUAGUUUUAUGUUUUGCAGGAAGCACCUAUAAAUUAUUACCAAACUUAUUGGAUUUAAUUUAACAUAACUACUAUAAAGAUAUGGGUGAAUUUAAUUAGACACAGUCUUUAUAGGAGUCGAGAAGAAGGGUUGUUCUGGCCUCCAAUCCUAAGUCGCGUAAACCAAAGUGUCUAUAAUCCCCUAAAAGACAACCUAAAAGAGGUAUUUAGAGGUCUUGGCUCAUAAAUGAUUAAGCCCAAGUACAACAUAAAAAAAAAAUACAAAAUAACAAAUGUAUUGGAUUGCGCUCGCCCCCCAGUGAUCUUAUCUCUGGUGAUUUCGGCCUCCUAUUAGCUUCUUAACCAUGGUUGUAAUCCUAAUCACUCUUCUCCCUAUGAAUUUCUUUGCCAUGCAAGUGCAAUAAAAACCUUCCCAAUUUGGGUCUCUGAGUUCUAAUCCUUUCCAAGAUCAGUCAAACCUAAAAUGAAACAAGACAGUUACACCAUAACAAGUCCUAGAAUGGAACACGUCAACGGAAAAACACAAUGAAAUUACACUAAAAAGAGAAGAAAAAGCAUGGAAACCUAACUAGACAAUAUAGAGAGAUGACAUGAGAUGCAACGAUUAAACAACUAGAUCGGUGAUGCCAAAUUUUAUUGAAAACCAUCAGCACACAAAUAUUUUUAAAGAAUUAAAUAGGUUUGAUUUCCCCAUUGUACCCACACAUACGUAAGAACAAUUUUGAUGAGAUCAAAACAAUCUUCAAAAAAAUAUACUUACAUUCUGAAAUUCACAAUAAAAUAAAAUAAAUUAUUUUUAACAACUUAAUAAGCUAAAGGAAAAGGCAAUCAUUAUUUCAUACAUUAUGUUAAAGGAUACGUAACUGUUGAAAAAUAAUGUGAUAGAAUAUUAAUAUCUUUCUUAUGCAUAGUUAACUCCUGAAUCUAUGUCUAGGUUGAGACAUUUCAUUAGGAUGUUUUCAUAUGUUUUCUUAAUAAAAUAUGGUAGUGGCACCCAUUCUUUCAUUUGAUUCAUAGUUAGGUAUCAUGUUCUGAUCCCAAAACCUAUAAGAAAUUAGGCUUAAUUUAAAUCAACAUAUUCAAAUUACAAAUUAAUAGAAGAAUUAUAUUUUAUUAAAUUAAUUAGGUUGCUACAUAGGGUGAAGAGAAAGGAGAUUCAUACCCCAGUUGUCUCUAAAUAAUUUUUCUUUUUUCAUGUAUGUGAUUUCUGUUUUGAUUUGCAUUACUUUCACGUAUUUUUGGGGUACUCAAAUAGUCCAGGCCAUUAGUAAUAUUGGUAUUUGCAAAAACUCCUUGUGAGAAUCAUACUGUUUUUAACUUUAUUACUUGACAUGACUGGUGCCCUUUCUGUGAUCGAAAAUUGGUAUUUUACUACUACUUGUGUACCUCUAUCAAACCUUCCUCAUUUUUGUUUGGGUACAGAAACCUUCCUUAAUAAUUAUAUACGAAGAGUUUAAUUAUAUAUAUAUAUAUAUAUAUAUAUAUAUAUAUAUAUAUAUAUAUAUAUAUAUAUAUUUGUUGCAAUUCAUAUGUAAAGAAUAAAUUAUUCAGUUAUAUUUAAUUGCAAUAAGUCUUAUAUAAUUUGAUCGUAUUUUAUUAAUGACUUAUUUUUAAUAUUGUUUGCCGUUGAGGUAUUAAUGAUCAUUUAGGAAAAAUCAAAAGGAUUAGACGAUUUUUCCAUAUGCUUAAUAUGGCACUCUAUGGCUUGGCCUUUAUGGUUGAUAAGUAACAACUUUGUUUUUAAAAUGUAUCAUUUGAUUUUAUCUCUUUGUUGUAUUUGAUUGAAUUCUAGUCUUGGUCGUGGCUAUAAGGCUAUUCACUAAUGUUGGUAAGUUGUUUUUUUCCGUUCGCAAAUUGGUGCAUUAAUUUGUUGUACUAUAUGUAAAAUUUGUUGUUACUUGUUAAGGUCCAAAUUGUCUAUAGGAGACACUAUGGGAUAUAUUUUGAAAUCUAGCAUAUUUAGAAGAUUUAGAGUUUAAUUUUCGUAUAUUGUUAAUAUAAAAUUUUUUACACCGUUAAUUAAUUUAAAAUUAUUUUAGAUAUAAUUUUUAAAAUAAUUGUUAUAAAAAUUGAGAAUUUUUUUAUACAUAAAAAUUUAUAAUUGAAUGAUAUAUAAUGUACAUAAAAAAUAUCGUAAUAAAAAAUAUAUAAAUUUGUGUAUAUCUUAAUUAAAUUAUAUUGACAUUUGUUAAGGCAAAUAAUUUGCGAACUUUGCGUAAUAUAAUUUAUUUAUUUAUUUUACAAACGCAUAAUAUAAAAUUGGUUAAUGUGACUUCACGCAAUCCCCCCCAUACACACAAAUUAAGAACAUUUCACGGCCAAAACGCGUGGAAAACUUAGAUAUGAUCUUAAUAUUAAAUUUGCAAUCAGUUUAAGUCAAUAAUUUCGGACUUGUUCACAAAGGAUUGUCUAAACAAGCACUUUUUUUAAAAUGAAAAGAAUUUAGUAUAAGUGUAUAACGUUCUAAUAAUUUCAGUGCCUAUUAGUUUGUCAGACUUCUGUACCUAGUAUAGGCUCCUAGAUGAAUGUUUCGUGUUGAAAAAUGAUCAAAUUUUACAUAAUUAUUUUUUUAAAAUUUAAUAAUAAUGCACUAACACAUUAUAAAAUAUUUUUAAAAUAUCAUUCAAUGACAAUUUAUCAUUAAUCUGAAACAAAUUUAUUAAGUUAUUAUUUAUAAUAAUUUAUGAUUGUACGACAAUAUAAAAUUUUUUACAUUAUAAUUUUUUCUCUCUUUAUUAAAAAAACGUGGUUAAUUUUUUUUGUCUUGAAACAGGAUACUCUCGCCCGGCAUUACCAUUAGGAAAGUUUCUUAAUAAUUGUAUUUUUCAAUAUCUAAAUUUUGCUUGUUUUAUUGGGAUUUUUUAUAAAAUAUUUUAAACAUAAAUCUAAUUAAUACAAUUACAUACUAAUUUGCCCUUGGUUUCUUUUUCAAUCCUGAAGAUUUUAUGACGCAAAUGAAAACGACAAAAAAGAUAAGAUAGGUAUUGAAAUUAUAUUGCAUAUCAUGAAAGAAACGGAAUAUGAAAAUCUAAGAAGAAGCACAUAUAUAUAUAUAUAUAUGGGACUAAAUUACAAUACUUUCUAAGCUUUUUGCAAGUCUUUAAAGUAUUUUCUUUAAUAUAUUACACAUGGAUUUAACUAUCCAUAUUAACUAAUAGUCAUUAUUUAUUUCUCAUAUUUUCGAAGAAAAAAAUUAUAUUAUUUGAUUAUUUGUAGUUUAAUUAAAAGAAUAUAACUUAUAAAUACAGUACCUUAAAAUGUUUUUGAAAUUAUUUUUAACUAAGGUUUUUAUUUUGAUAACGAACCCCAACUUUUGAUUCUAACUUAUAUUGCGUGGAUUAUCGAAAAAAAAUUAAUUUUAAUUAUAAAAACUUUUAAGAAACUAAGCCUAAGUUUUCUUUUCUUCAAAUUCAUAAUUUAAGAAUAGCUAUUAGCCAGCCAAUUAGCUAGUGAUAAUGUGAGGAUAUGAUUAAAAAUGUAAUAAUAGCUAUUAGCCAAUUAGCUAGUGGUAAUGUGGGGAUUUGAUAGGCUGUCGUGAUACACAUUUUUCUUUUAUUUAGAAGUUAUCGGUGGGGUCUCUGGAAAUUCCAAAUUUAAACAAAAUAGAAUUUCAAUCUUAAAAAAAAAAGAGGUACACGAAAAUAAAUACUUAAAAAAAGGUAUACGAGAAUAAAUUCUAUUAAUUAUCAAUAAUUUAAAUUUCUAAUUGAAUUAUACAUAUAUAUACUAUAUUAACUCCUUAAAAUUUAUUUUUUAUUUAUAGGAAUAGAAUUCAAAUAUCCAAGAGUUUACGACAACGUACACACAUGGCUCGAUCAAUGGAAUUAAACCUCUUUGAUAUUUUUUUAUCAAUAAAUAUUAAUUAUUAGUAGUUAGUUUUUGUUAGUAAAAAUUCUCAAAUUUAUAACCUCUUUUUUUUUUCCUUCUUCUCUCAUUUUUCUUUCAUCACUAUUUCAAUCUUAUAACUCUUAAAAAAGAUUCAAAAGUUUCCCUAAUGCAAAAUUGAACUACAUACAAACACAAAGACCUCCUUGAUAUUAACUAAUUAAAAAUGAUACACUUAAUUUUUAAAAUAAUUAUUUCAAAAAUUAAUAACUUUAUCACAAACAACACAAUACACCUAUAGCUUGCUAAAAGGAACCUUGACAAAGCUGUUUUUUUUUAAUAAGGGUUCCCUCGGCCCUUUAUGUUCAAAUGAGACUGAGUCAAAUGCUCAUUUGUUCUUUUCUUAUAGGAAAUCUCUCCAAGUUUGGACUCACAUUCGUGAUUUGGCUCCUUUCCGCAAGCGUUUCACUUCUUUGCAGCGCAUUACUGACUCUUUAAUUAAGGGCAGAUCCACAGUGUUCAAGGAAAAUUUCGUUGUCUGACUAUAACAAUUAUAGUCUACUGCAUCUGGCUGUUUAAGAACAAACUGAUUUUUAAAGAUUAUCAAUUUUCUGUAAUAGAGAUUAUUAGUAAGAUUAAGUUUUUUAUAUAUAGACAAACGUACCUGUUAUAUUUGUUUUAACAUCUUGAUAUAGGCCUUCUUAUAUUAGGGAGACUUUUGAUUUUCUCUAGUUGCAGAGUAUGCCCCGUUUAUUGUUAUAUUAUUUUGGGUUUAAUAUAAUUUACAAUUUUUCAAAAAAAAAAAAAAGUGAUUGACCUAUGUGGCAUUAGAUUCAGAUCCUUUGAGCAUGCACUAAUUAAGAAACUCAAAUCCUAAAUAGCGUGCAUGAAAAAAAACUUAAUUGGGUGAAAACAAUCUGCCUAUAAAUGCCAACAAAUUAAAUGUCUUUGAAGAAAUUAAAAAUCUCGGUGAUCCACAUGAACAUUUCUUUACAAUCAUAUGCCUACAAAAACAACAUAAUACAUUUAAAUCCAAAUUUUGGUAUUUAUUUAGGCUAAACUAUCAUUUAGUUUCUCUAUUUGUUUAAUUAAUUCAAUUUGGUUUUUUUAUUAAAAAGAUUAAUUUUGGUAUUUUUUUCAAAACUGAUGCAUGUGUACCUUUCCUGUUAAUGCCAUUUAAACUUCUAUCAGAAAUAUCCUACGUGGUCAUUACAUGUUAUUAUUUUAUUGUGCUACAUAUAUAAGAAGUUAACGCCGUUUCGUACCUAUAUAGAAAUGAUAAUAUAGUAUCAAUUUUAAAAAUUAAGGAAUUAAGUUAAACUUCUUUAAUAAUAAAAAAAUCAAAUUGAAUUAAUUAAAUAAAUAGAAGGACGUGCUAAAUUAAUAAUUUAGCCAAAAGUUUAAAUGCAACCAAAUUAAUCACAUCUAACAAACAAGAAUUUGUAAAAAGUGUGUCGUCAAUUUAAAACCUUAACAGGUAAUUAUUGUCAAAACUUAUUCGACACUUAAUUUCUUUAUCAAAUCAUUAGGAUUUGAUUUUGACUUGAGAAUAGAUAGAGUCUUGUAAUAUGACUUUAUUCUCAAAUAAAUUAACCCGAUGGGUGAAAAUUUGCUGGAUGCCUAAUAGUUAGAAACCCAAAAUACUUUCCGAUUAUGCACACACCAAAAGAAAAAGUGAUACUUAUAACAAUACCCACUAUUCCACGUGCAAAAUCUCUCGGGUGGGUUUGGUUGCGAGAAAAUAAAAGAAAAAGGAAUUUUUAUAUAAAAAAAAAACAUGUAUAAUAUUUCACACUUUUAAUAUUCUAUUUUAAUUCAAAUAUUUUUUUUUACAAUUUUCUUUCUUUUUCUUCUUUUUUUCCUCGACCAAAUUAAAUCGCCCUGCAUACUCUCUGAUCCACCGAUUGAUGGAAGUCCCAACAUCACAGAUCACAAGUGUCCAAAACUUAAUUUAAGGGCUUUCCCCGCCGGCUAAAAUUCCCAUGUUCACACAAGAGCAUGUACUUAAAUUUAUGUAAUAAGUUCAAGUGUUUACUUAUAGUUUUCAGGUAUUGUAUUUAUAAGUUUGGUUAAAUUAAUUUAUUUUUAAUUCAAUUUACUCAUUAAAUUCUUUUGGGAUUCAAUUUAUUUUUUUAAUUUUUAAAAUUGAUUCAAUUUAAUUAUAUUAUCUAAAUUCAAUCAAUAAUAUUUAAAAAUUAUAUUUUAUGAUCGUUUAAAAUCACUUAAUAAUGAUUGUAAAUCAUCAUACAUUUAGAUGAAAUGAUCAAAUUUAGAUGACAGAACCACUCAAAUUAAUUUAAAAAAAGAUUAAAUUGAAUCAAUUUUUAAAAAUUUAAAAAUCAAAUUAAAUAUAAAAAAUUAGAAAAUUAAAUCAAACUAAUUUUUAAAAAAUUAAAUUGAACCUAAAAAAUAAAUUAGAAAAAAAAAUCAAUUUUACUUGUAAGUUUUAAUUAGAUCGACUACUAUUAUGUUUUGGUUCCAAUAAUCAGUUUCAGUUCACUUUUUUUUACAGCAAAUUUCGGUUCACUUUAUGGUUAUCUAACCUGAUAUUAUUCGAUUCCGGUAUCGGUUUAUAAGUUUGCAAACCCGAAUAAUCUGAUCCAAUCCAAACGCAUAUACACUGAACUUUCGUUCUAGAGCUCUGCAGCACUUCAGCACAAUCGUUUUUAUUUUUUCUCAGGGUACCAGAGCUUCUGCCAUCAUGGAUGGACACCGUGUUACUCCAAAAAUACAAGAUUGAUUUGAUGAUUGAAAAAUAAGAAUUUAAACAUAAAGGAAAAAAGAGAAGUCUCAAGAUUAAAAUUCUGCUUACCGAUAUUUUAAUAAAAUUAACAAAUUAAUUUGUUUGAUAAAAAAAUAAUAUUAGGAUGUCUCUUGAUAAGGAUCUUUGAUCUUAGUUCGCCAACCUUGACUUUCUUCCAAGCUCGUUCUCUCUCAAUCUCUUUCAGUCACGAAUGGUCGCACUAUGCAAUAACUGCAGCUACGCUAUUUUGCUGCUCCCUUCCCAUAGAGAGAUUAAUAGGGCACCCCCAUUAUCACACAAAAUUAGUGGGAUGGGUUUGGACUUGGACCGGACUCCUCUAGCCUUUUCCUUUUUUAUAUUUUCCCAUUUCUUAUAGUCAAAUGCUUAUGAGACCCUUUCUUAAUUAAGACUUUAUUUCUAGCUUUUUUUUUUUAAAAUUACUGAUUUGAAAUGUUCCACUUUUAAACUAGGAGAUAGAAUCGUUAAAUAAAAAAUAAAACUCAUUAAAAUUAAUAAUUUCUAAUAAAUUUUAUUAGAGAAUGAUAGAAAAAAAAAGAAUAAAGAGAAUAAAUUAUUACACGUGACACGUACAUAAGUUAUUAAAUUUAAUUUAAGAGAAAAUAAUUCAUAAUAUUUAAUUAUUUUUCAUUUAAAGAUUGAUUGAAAUCAUCAACAAGUGAUCAUCCGUGUAAUAAUUUUUUGCAUAUUGAAUUUAGUGACUCAAAAAGUUUCGAUAAAGAUAGGAUUAGUUUCAUUAGGGUGCUUAUAUAAAGAUCAUGAAACGUGAAGCAAUUCUGUUGUGUGUGGCUGGACGAUCAUGGUCCGGACGACCGGGGCAGACGAGGGAAAUUGUACUCAGUUAGUUGGUUAAUUUCUGUUAUAACUUCCAUAACAGAAAUAAUUAUUUUCUGUUAGAGUCUAUGGGUAUAAAUACAUUGUAUUUAUCAACUCUUGUACGUUCAUGAUUGAUUAAUGCAUAAGUCCCUCUUACGCUGAGAAUUACUUGUUGUCUCUUUACUCUCGUUUUCUUGUUUUCUCUCUCGUUUGUUGCGUCCAUCUCGAGUGUUCGUAGGCUCUGUUUUGGGUAACAGAUUGAUAUCAGAGCUCAAGGUUGGAGUUGAUCCUUGGGGGUAUUCUUUGAUCUUUGAAACAACUUCCUGAUUGUUUAACAAAGGUUUCUGCAUCAAAGAAUGGGUUCUGCGAAGUUUGAUAUCGAGAAGUUCACAGGCAAGAAUGAUUUCAGCCUGUGGAGGAUAAAGAUGAGGGUGUUGCUGGUUCAUCAGGGGCUGGAUGUUGCUCUUGAUGGGAAGAACCUCCCAAUGCAUUUGUCGAAGAGUAAGAAGAAAGAGUUGCUUGACAAGGCGCACAAUGCUUUGAUUCUUUCCCUGGGUGACAAGGUUCUAAGGGAAAUAUCAAAGGAGAAAUCUGUUGCGGUGGUGUGGCUCAAGCUGGAAAGCCUAUAUAUGACCAAAUCUUUGGCCAAUAAGUUGUUCUUGAAGUAGAGGUUGUACACGUUCAAGAUGUCAUCGGGUAAAUCCUUAGAGGAUCACUUGGAUGAUUUCAAUAAGAUCAUUCUUGAUCUGGAGAAUAUUGAAAUCAAGGUGAACAAUGAGGAUCAAGCGUUGUUGCUGCUCAGAUCAUUACCAAGUGAGUAUGAUAGCCUCUCAGACACGCUCAUAUAUGUCAUUGGAUGAGGCGAAGGCUGCCCUAUUUUCGAAGGAGUUGAAGAAGAAAUUAGAGGGAGGUGGCUAUCAGGACGCUGAAGGAUUGUACACGAAGGGCAGAAUGGAGAAGAAGGAUCCCAAGAACAAGAAGGGAUCAAGAUCGAAGUCACAUGAUGGAAGGAAAAGAAGGUGCUUUGUGUGUGGGAGUGAUGAAGAAAGAUUGCCCAGACACAAGGAAAAAGAAGCAGGGCAAUCAAAAGAGUCAGAAUGGUGAUGCGGACGUGGCUGUAGAAGGGUAUGACAGCACAGACGUCAUGUGUGUUUCAGACGUGAAGAUAAAACCAAAGUGGGUGCUGGACUCUGGGUGCUCAUUCGACAUGUGCCCUGAGAAGAACUGGUUUUGUUCGUAUGAAGAAUGCAACGGAGGCCAGGUUCUUUUGGGUGACAAUAAAGCCUGCAAGGUGGUUGGGAUUGGAGCUAUAGAGUUGAGGCUUGCAGACAGCACCAUCAGGACACUGAAGGAGGUGAGGCAUGUGCCUGACUUGAAGAGAAAUUCAAUUUCUCUUUGUAUGUUGGACAAGUAGGGGGCACACAUGCAAGGUUAAAGGCAGAGUCCUGAAGGUCACGAAGGUUCAUUAGUGAUCCUGAAAGGGAGAUUGGUGCAUGGCUUGUAUCUCCUAGAAGGAAACACAACAUCGUUCAACAUUGCGUCGUCCAGCACUAAAUCAUCUAGUGCUGCUAUUGUGACUGCACAGAUGCACUCUCAGGCAAGUCUCUGGCACAAGAGACUUGGUCACAUCAGUGAAGGAGGCAUAAGAGAACUUAGCAAGCAGAAGUUGCUUGGCAAGAAGAGUCUGGACGCAUUGGAGUUUUGUGAGCACUGCAUCUACGGCAAGGCCAAGAGGUUGAAGUUUGUUGUUGCUGAACACCAUUUGAAGGGGACUCUGGACUACAUCCAUAGCGAUCUAUGGGGGCCUACGUAUGUUCUUUCACACAGUGGAGCAAGGUACUUCCUAUCCAUCAUUGAUGAUUUUUCGAGGAAGGUAUGGGUUUUCAUCCUUAAGAGUAAGGAUGAAGUCUUUGCUAAGUUCAAAGAGUGGAAGGUGUUGGUUGAAACUCAAACUAGCAAGAAGGUCAAAAAGCUGAGGACUAACAAUCGUUUGGAGUUUUGUUCUGAUGAAUUCAAUCAGUUCUGUAAAAGGAAUGAGACUGAAAGGUAUAGAAGGAUCAAGGGAACACCUCAACAGAAUGGACUUGCAAAGAGGAUGAACCAAACGAUUAUGGAGAGAGUCAGAUGCUUGUUGUCUGACAGUAAUUGUUCGGGGCAUUUCUGGGGUGAGGCUGUGAUGACAGUCUGUUACCUCAUCAAUAGGUGUCCGUCCACUGCCACCAACAUGGUGACUCCUGAAGAGAUGUGGAGUGAUCAUUCACCCAACCUCAAGAAUUUGAGAGUGUUUAGGUGUGUGACAUAUGCUCACAUUAGACAAGACAAGCUUGAACCGAGGGCCUUGAAGUGCAUGUUUCUGGGGUACCCACAAGGAGUAAAGGGGUAUAGGUUAUGGUGCAUGGAGAAGGGGCAUGUUGUGUUCAAGGAGUCUGAAAUGUAUCACUUGAAGGAGGAUUCAAGUAAAGGGAAGGCAGUGUGGACGCAGGAGAGCGUCCAGUUAGAGGUGGAGUCUGGUGCAGGAUCGUCUAGUGCAGGAAGGGGUCGUCCACUACUUGGGUCUACAAGUGCUGAAGUGGAGCGUCCAGAGCAUGGGUCGUCUGGUGCCAGAGUCAAGACGCAAGGGGAGGAACAGGAGGCUGACAUCAUGCAUUUAGACUUGCAGGACUAUCUCUUAUCACGAGAUAAGGAAAGGAGGGUCAGCAACCCACCAAAUCGGUUUGGUUAUGCUGACAUGGUUGCAUUCACCCUCAAUGUUGCUGAGGACAUUGAGGGAAGCGAGCCGAAGAGCUAUGUGGAUGCUGUGAAUAGAAAACACUCCAAGGAGUGGACGAUUGCUAUGCAGGAAGAGAUAGACUCGUUGCACAAGAAUGACACUUGGGUGCUAGUAGACAAGCCAAAGGUGUCCAAGUUGGUUAGCUGCAGAUGGCUGUACAAGCUGAAGGAGGAAAUUCCAGGAAUGGAAAAGGCUAGGUACAAGGCACGAUUGGUGUCACAAGGGUUUACACAAAGGUAGGGUAUCAAUUACAAUGAGAUAUUCUCGCUUGUUGUGAAACACUCAUCAAUCAGGAUGGUGCUAGCCUUGGUCGUCCAGCAGGACAUGGAGUUGGAGCAGUUGGACGUAAAGACAAUUUUUCUACAUGGAGAACUGGAUGAGGAGAUCCAUAUGAUGCAACCAGAAGGCUUCAUAGAGGAGGGCAUGGACGACAAGGUGUGUUUGUUGAAGAAGUCUCUCAAUGGCCUUAAGUAAUCUCCAAGACAAUGGUACAAACGUUUUGAUACGUUCAUUGUGGAUGGGGUUGUCACAUAUCUUCUACUGUAUGUAGAUGAUAUGUUGAUUGCGUCCAGAUGCAAGGCAGAUAUUGAGGAAGUUAAAGUGCUAUUGGAAAGGGAAUUUGAAAUUAAGAAUUUGGGUGCUGCAAGUAAGAUUCUAGGGAUGCAGAUCACGAGGGACAUGGUCCAGGGAGUGUUGUGCCUGGAUCAGAGGAGCUAUGUAGCUAAGGUGCUGAAGACGUUCAACAUGGAUCAGUCCAAGGCAGUGUUGACACCCAUGGCCCAAUAUUUCAAACUUUCUCAUCAGCAUUCACCUCAGACGAAGGAAGAAGCAACAUACAUGGAGAAGGUUCCAUAUGCGAAUGCAGUGGGCAGCCUCAUGUAUUUGAUGAUCCGCACAAGGCCCGACCUGGCAUAUGCUGUGAGUUUAGUUAACAGGUACAUGGGAAAACCAGAGAAGAUACAUUGGGAAGCUCUGAAGUGGAUCUUCAGAUAUCUGAAGGGAACGUACAAGGCAUGAUUGUUGUAUGCCAAGCAUGAGAGCUCAAUGGACGAUGUGGUUGGAUUUGUUGAUUCAGACUAUGCUGGAUGCCUCGACACUAGACGGUCACUUACUGGUAUGUGUUUAAGUUCUGUGGUAACACUGUGAGUUGGAAGUGCAACCUACAGCAUGUGGUUUCACUAUCCACAACUGAAGCUGAAUUCAUUGCUCUCACUGAGGCAAUCAAAGAGGCUGUGUGGAUGAAGGGUAUGGCAACGAGCUUGUAUACUAAGGUGAAUGGUGUUAAGGUGUACUGUGACAACCAAAGUGGCAUUCACUUGGCCAAGAACCAGACGUACCAUGAGAGGACGAAGCACAUUGAUGUUAAGCUGCACUUUGUGAGGGAGGUUAUUGCAAAGGGGGAAGUAGUCGUCGAGAAGAUCCACACUAAAAACAAUCCAGCGGAGACAUCGACGAAGGCAUUACCAGGGCCUAAGUUCAAACAGUGUGUGCAAAUCAUGAAGGUUGAAGGAGCAUGACGUCCAACCAAGGUGGGGAAUUGUUGUGUGUGGCUGAACGAUCAUGGUCUGGACGAUCAGGACAGAUGAGAGAAAUUAUACUCAGUUAGUUGGUUAAUUUCUGUUAUAACUUCCAUAAUAGAAAUAAUUGUUUUCUGUUAGAGUCUAUGGGUAUAAAUACAUUGUAUUUAUCAACUUUUGUACGUUCAUGAUUGAUUAAUGCAUGAGUCCCUCUUCUGCUGAGAAUUACAUGUUGCCUCUUUACUCUCGUUUUCUCCUUUUCCCUCUCAUUUGUUGCAUUCAUCUCGAGUGUUCGUAGACUCUGUUUUACGUAACAAAUUCAAUUUGAAUAAUUUUGGAAUAAUUUAAACUUGAUUCAAUUAGACCUAAUUACACCCUAUACUAAAUCAAUUUAAUUUUGAAAUGUCAUUCAAUUUAAGUUUGUAUAUUUUACCUAUAUAUUUGCAUGAUACACUAACUACUUGCUAAUUUUUUAAUAUAUUCGUCAUCAUAUUCCCUUUGACACUUCCAAACACCAUGAGCACUAUAUAAACCCCAUCCACACCAAAUUACUCCCAUCUUCACAAACACUCUUCUUUUAAGCUCUAGCAGUUAACUAGCAAUAUUAGCAUUUCCUAGUGAAGAUGGCUUCCAAAACUUGUUCCUCCCUUGCUCUUUUCCUCGCACUCAACCUCCUCUCCUUUUCACUUGUCUCUGCAUGCGGUAGUUAUUCAUGCCCUAGUCCAAAGCCAAAGCCAAAGGCCAACCCCAACCCUAGUCCUUCGGGUUCAUCGUGCCCCCGUGACGCACUCAAGCUAGGUGUAUGUGCCAACGUGCUAAAAGGGUUGUUGAACGUGACUUUGGGUCAACCACCAGUAACCCCUUGCUGCUCCCUUCUCGAUGGGCUCGUUGACCUUGAGGCUGCAGUGUGCCUUUGCACUGCUCUCAAAGCAAACGUUUUGGGCAUCAACCUCAACCUUCCACUCUCACUCAGCUUACUUCUCAAUGUUUGCUCAAGGAAAGUUCCCCGUGAUUUCCAAUGUGCCUAAUAUAGCCUAUACACAACAUAUCAUAUAUAUAUAUAUAUAUAUAUAUAUAUAUAUAUAUAUAUAUAUAUAUAUAUAUAUAGCAUGUUUGAAAACUCGUUGAGGAUGGAGAAAUCAUGUCUGGGAUGUGUAAGCUACAACUAUUAGCUUCUUAAAAUCACAUCUAGAACAUGAAAAGUCGUAUCCGAAACAUGAAACCAAACAUGUUAAUCAUCCUAUCUACUUUUUCUUCGUGUUUGCUAGUUGUGGCUUUCCAUUUUUUUUUUUCAAAGUCUAUUGAUCAGCGUGUGAAUCUUGUACGUGCAUAGAGGGUUAACUUCUCGUUAUUCCUUCCUUUCCGUGUUCUUUAAAUUGUAAGGUUAGAGUGUUGCAAUAAAUUAAUAAAUAAGUUCCCGAUAUGCUUGCUUGUCUACGCAAGGGAACCAAAGAUGAUGAACUGUGUUAUUUGUUUGAUUGAGAAAUGAUCAUUAUAUGACAAAUAAUCGUUUGGAAAAUUAAUAAAUAUGUUGGGCACGUUUAUGAAGGGGGUCACUGAUGUAAUAGUACCAGAUUACGUAUGCAGGGGCUGAACAAAUAUGCUUGCUGGAUGCUGUGAGAUUUUAUAUAUGCUGCGUCAAUAGUUUAGGAGCUGGAGCAGAUUAUAUGUGUGUUGUGGGAUUUUGCAGGGUAGUGGUUCAUAAUGUAAAAGGGUUUGGUUACCCAUAUACCCUCUAUUAUAUAAAAUUUAUUUGGAUCAUAUAAAAAAAAUCCUUCUUAAUUUAUUUUUGCCCUUUCCUUUUGUAUUUUUGAAGAAUGAGAUCACCAACUGAUCAAAUAAAUUACUCGGCCGUUCUAUUUUACUAUCGUCCAAUUCCCUCGUCCCCAAAAAGAGGUCACUAACUGGCGACAUCCAAUUUAGUCCUCUAUUAAGGAGGAAAAAGCUGCAUACGAUUCGUUACCUUUUUUUACCAUGCAUGGUAUGAUCUAUUUAAGCCAUGCAUAAUAAUAAAAUUGUAUUUCAAGGUGUAUCUUUCGACUUAGUAGUGUUUUAGAUUUUGAUAAAGAUUAGACCGUGGACAUUAAGAAAUAGAGUUUAAUAUUCUUUUUCUGAUUCAAGUAUUGGUUGAAAAUGUAUAUUACGGGACGACAUAUUACUAAUCAAGUGUUAGUUGAAAAUGUCGGGAACACAAGAGAGUCCAUCAUAUUAUUAGUAACUUGUUGAACCAUGCAUUUCCCCUCAAUUUAAGAGAUCAAUGGAAGAAAAAACCAUCGACAUUCAAAUUACUUUUCCCGGUUAUAGUGACAAUAUAAUAAAUAAUAUAAACAAAUAAUAUAUUUUGAAUCACCUUAAUAUUAAAUGUAAAAUAUUUAUUUAUUUUAUUAAUGAUUAUUCUCCUUUAGAUAACCUUACAGGUCACCCAUUAAAUCUCUCUUUCCAUUUUUUUUAAUUAUAAGAUUUGAACUUCAAAUCCUACUUAAGGAAUUUAAAUCUAAUUUUACUCAAAUUAAUAACAUUUGUUAUUCAAACAUAUGAUGUAUUGAUUGUAUACAUAUUUUUAUAUAUUAAAAUUAUGCACAUCUAUAAAAUUUAUAUGACUAAAUUAUUGUUUUAAUUUUUUAUUUAUAGUUUUGGAGUCGGCAAAUAGAAAAUGGAGGAUUAUAUGGAGUGCUGUAUCUUGUGUUAUAUGGAACUGGAGGAACAACAUGGUGCUUAGAGGUGCAACCUUUCACCGGGAUAAAGUAAUCUAUGAAAUACUCUUUCAAAGCUGGUCGUGGAAUAGAUAGAUCUAGUGAGCACAGGAUUUUAGCUCCUUUGUACCGUGGGAAAUUGGUCCUGGGGAAUGCUUGUUAAUUUGAAAGGUAUCUUUAUUUUUGGCCUGAGUUCGUGGUGCUGAAAGCUGCGUAUCAGAUGCUUGUAGGAUUGCUUGGUGGAUUGUUUAUGGUCUGCUGCGGUUUGGCUGGAGUUGGUCCUUGUGGUGAGGUGCUGCUGUAUUUAGAGGUCAGGGGCGUUGGUGUUUGCUUGGUUAUGCCACUGGUUGGUUACGUGUGACUAGAAAUAUAUAUAUUGGGUAUAUGAUGGUCUUUAAUUUUCAUAGCUUCAAUCUUUUGAGUAUGCAAUUGUUCCUUGUACGUAUACUUCAAGCUUCAGGACUGUUUGAAGCAUAUAUAUUUUAGGUGAUUUUUGGUUCAGCUUUGUGGUUGGAUUUUCCUUUGUAUUAGCCACAAAGGACAUGUAUGUUUUAUUCUAUGUCAUGGCCCUACUUGUGCUGCUAUCUUAAUAAUAUAUGAGGUUCCAUUUGAUUAUUGAAAAAAAUAUUUUAAUUACCUUUUUUUAUUUAAUCGAUGUAAGUUGAUUUCUUUAUAAUAAAAGUUUUAAUUUAAUUCUUUAAUUUUCAAAAUCAUGUCAAAUUUUGUUAUUUUCAUCUAAUUGAUCAAAAUAUAUAAUCAUCAAAAUGGGUUACAAUCGACAAGCCACCCGAUCCAUCACAAAUUUGAAUCAGGUUGGAUUAUUUUUUUUCCAUUUCAUUUAUGUAUAAAAUAUGACCCACCUGACCUGUGCUGGGCUAUGUUGACUAGCGAACCAAAGACAUGUUAAUGCUACAAAAAAAACUCACUAGUCACACAGCACAACAAUUAUGAUUAGGCUUGACCUUUUUUUUCACUCUUUUUUCUUGAUUAAGUUAUUAUUCUUGCUUUCUUAUUAUUAAUUAGGCAAUUUUUUUUUUCCUUUUGAGCAACCCAUCUUCGACUGACUUGACCCACUUUGACAGCUAUAGGUGUUAGUGAAAUCUGACACGUGCCACUUUUACUCGUUUUAGCCACCAAUGCCAUUCUAAUCAAUUAAACAUAAAUGAUAAUAUUGAUGUAAUUUUUAAAAUUAAGGAAUUAGCUUAAAUUUUUAACAAUAAAAAGACCAAAUUGAAUAUAUAAAAUAAAAAUUGAGAAAAAAAGAGUAUUUUAGCCUAUUUAUAUUAAUAGUUUAAUUUUCGUAAAAAAAAUGCAUACAUAGACUAAUUCAAAACUUAUUUAUUAGAGUUUUAUUUUUGUUUAAUGAAGUGAUUUAAUAGUCAUUAUUUGCUUCUAUGAUUUUUGAAUAAAAAAUCUAUCAAUUAUUUUUUUAUACUUUACUUGAAAGAAUAAAAGUUAUUAUAUAUCAUCUAAAUUUUUGUUAUUAUUUUUAAAUAAGGUUUUAUUUUAAUGACCGUUUUUAUUUUAACAUAUGCAGUAUUACUAGAUUGUCGAAAUAAAUAUCUAAUUUUAAUUAAAAAAAACCUUUAAGAAACUAACGUACCGUUUGAUUUGAGUGUUUUUUUUUUCUAAAAAUAAUUUUCAUUUUCAAAUUUUUAAGAUUUAUAAAGCAUAUAUCAAAAAUAAAAUACUCUAUGGUGUUUUCAUUUCUUCAUAAAAAUUAAAAAUAUUGAUAUGUUGUUUUUAAUUUUGUGCCUAUUUUUAAAAAUAUUUUCAAAAAAAUACUUUCAAAAUUCUAAACAAAUGUAGUUUUAUUAUUAUUUUUUAUUUUCUUUAAAAAUAAAAACAGAAAACACUCCCAUCAAACACCACCGAAUUCUAAUUAGUUUUAAAUUAAUAAUUUAAUCGUUGCUAGUAUAGGCAAAAUAGCUAGUUGUAAUGUAAGGAUUUGAUUAAACAUGUAAUAAUUGCUGUUGGCCUAUUAGUUAAUGGUAAUGUGAGGGUUUGGCAGGCUGUCGGGAUAUACAUCAUCAUCAUUUUUUUUAACAGAGUUAUCGAUCGGAGUACUCUAGAAGGUCCAAAUUUAAAACAAAAUGGAUUUUCAAUCUUAUAGAGCUACACGAGAAUAAAUGCUAGUAAAGUUAUAAAUUGAAACUUAAUUAAAUAUACUGAAUAUAUAUACAUAUAUAAUAUAUCAUAAAAUUGAUCAAUUUUGUUAAUUUUUAUCGAUGAUAAUAUUUUUGUUUAAAUUUAAUUUUUAUAUGAUGUCAGUGUAAUUUUUUUAUAUUAACUAGUUAAAAAUUAUUCUACAUAAUUAUUAUAAAAAUUAACGAGCUCAUCAUUAAAAAUUUAAUGCAUUACAAUUAAAUUCUUCCUACUUUGUUGUUUAAAAUUUUAAAUCCAACCAAAUUGCUAUUGGCUCUAAUCUUAAAUGUAAAUAAAAAAAUAACUCAUAUAUAGUUAUUUAAAACAAAUAAAUUUUAACUUUUUUAAAAAAAAUUCUCCAAAACAUUUUUUUAUUUAAAUUUUAUCUCAAUAACCUCUUUAAUUCUCGUGAUAUGAAUUGCAUGACUUUCAGAAAGAAAGAAAAAAUUUCAAUAAAAAAAAGUUUCUAUUAAAAUAAUGUUUUAUAACAAUUAGCGUGUGAAGAGUAGUUUGAAUAAUGGACAUUAUUUUUUUAACAAAAUACAGAAAAUUAAAUAAAUUAAAACUCACUAAACUAUUCUGAAACAAUCAUCAUAUCCUUCAUCCGAGUGAAAUUUAACUUAAAUUUUUUAACUAAAAUAUGAAAUUUAAUAAUUGUCGCAAAAAAUUAUUUUUGGUGUAGUGACACUUUGUAGAUGAAAGAAAGUAAAGAAAUAAUUGAGAUGGGAGACUCUCAUAAAAGUGAAUCAUUCAUAUUAUUUAACAAAAAAAUUAAUUGUUAGUAAAAUAAAUGAAUAUUUGGUACUGAUAAUAUCAUAAAAAUUACCAUGAAUGUUUUUGAACAUAAAAAAUAGUAAAGAAUAUCUUACAUGAUGAUUUUGUAGAGAAGUUGUGGUCAAUUUACAGCCACAAUUAGUGAUACUUAGAAAUGGGACCCGCUAUUCCACGUGCAAAAGUUAGCAAUUGCAUAAUUCUGGGGGCUCCAACGAUCUUACGGUCGCGGAAUCAAGUUGCCCAACGGAUGCAAAACUUUGCUUCCCGCAGAUCCACCGAUUGAUGACAGUCCCUACAUCAACAAGUCACGAGCAUCCAAAAGUUAAGGACUUAAUUUUUCGCCAGCUAAAAUUCGAUCUCAUGUUCAUACAUCAUUAUUUCAUUAGCUUCAUAUUUAUUUAUAAAAUAAAUUAUGUUUAUUUUUUAUUGUCAAAAAUCAAAUACUGUACUUAAGGUAUUAUAUGUCUUUAUUCUUAAUUAAAAUUAGCAUUUCAUCUAGAUAAUUAUUCUUAAUUUUAGUUAUAAAUAAUAGUAAUUAUUAAAAUAAAAUUUUCAUUUUAUUGAAAAAUCACUCCAAUUAUUUUUAUAAUACCAUAUCUAGAUUUAAUUUAUUUUUAAGAGAAAAAUCACUCUCAUGCAUGCAUUCAUAUGUUCCUUUUAUCGGUAAUAUAUAAUACUUUUUUAUAUUUUUUAUUAAUAAAACUAAUCUAUCAUUAAUUAUAUCAAUUUUGUAAAUGUCUUUUAAUUUAAGCUUUAUAUUUUACCUAUAUCGUACAUAUAUAAUACAAGAACUACUUGCUAAUUUUUUAAUAGACUCCUCAUCAUAACCCCCUUCACUUCAAAACACCAUGAGCACUAUAUAAACUACCUUCCACAGCAAAUUACUCCCAUCCUCACAAACACUCUUCUCCUAAGCUCUAGCACUUAACUAGCAAUAUUAAUUAGCAUUUGCUAGAGAGACUAGGAGUAUAAACAUACCCCAGUUUAAGAUGGCUUCAAAAACUUGUUCCUCCCUUGCCCUUUUCCUCACACUCAACCUCAUUUUCUUCUCACUUGUUUCUGCAUGCGGUUAUACACCAUGCCCUGGUCCAAACCCAAAGCCAAGGCCCAACCCCAACCCUAACCCUAACCCUAGCCCAAGUGGCUCCUGCCCCCGUGAUGCACUCAAACUAGGUGUAUGCGCCAAUGUGCUAAACUUGGUGAACGUCACUUUGGGUCAACCACCAGUUACCCCUUGCUGCACCCUUCUCGAUGGUCUCGUUGACCUUGAAGCUGCAGUGUGCCUAUGCACUGCCCUCAAAGCAAACAUUUUGGGCAUCAACCUCAACCUUCCAAUCUCACUCAGCUUGCUUCUCGAUGUUUGCUCAAGGAAAGUCCCACGUGAUUUCCAAUGUGCCUAAGCUUAUACUAUCACAUAUCAUCUUAUAUCCUUCUUCUGCUUCGGGUUUGCUCUAGUUGUGCUUUUCCAUUUUUUAUUU